GUCCUUGUAGAUCAACGGUAGAUCGUCCAUCUAUGAUUGACUAUAGAUAGCCUCCCUUCAGUGGAAGGUGUGGGUUCGACUCCCACCGAGGACA